rnacentral:rRNA from 1 species
AUUGAACGCUGGCGGCAGGCUUAACACAUGCAAGUCGAGCGAGCGGCGGACGGGUGCGUAAUGUCUGGGAAUCUGCCUGAUGGAGGGGGAUCACUACUGGACACGGUAGCUAAUACCGCAUACCAUCGGAUGUGCCCAUAUGGGAUUAGCUAGUAGGUGGGGUAAUGGCUCACCUAGGCGACGAUCCCUAGCUGGUCUGAGAGGAUGACCAGCCACACUGGAACUGAGACACGGUCCAGACUCCUACGGGAGGCAGCAGUGGGGAAUAUUGCACAAUGGGCGCAAGCCUGAUGCAGCCAUGCCGCGUGUGUGAAGAAGGCCUUCGGGUUGUAAAGCACUUUCAGCGAGGAGGCGUUACUCGCAGAAGAAGCACCGGCUAACUCCGUGCCAGCAGCCGCGGUAAUUC